rnacentral:lncRNA from 1 species
CCGAAAUAAGCCAUGAGUAGUUCUUCUUUCCUCCAGUGCCCCUUAAUUGGUUACAAUUGCGCCUCAAAUAUGACACUGGGUUCCUAUGUCCGUCAUACUUCUCAAACUUUGACAUUUUAAAGCUAGGAGGAAGGUUGACACCUGGAAACAUGCAUAAGUCCUUAUAUGAGACACUUUUGUAACCCCCAAGUCCUUGCAAGUUUGUCAUAGCCAGUUCCAAACUUCUUAAUUUUCUAGUCAUUUUCUCUUGUUCUUCUGUCAUAACAGGCUUCUCAGUGUUAGGAGUAAAUUCAGGCGGGUGAGUGUCACCGUAAAAACCAGUCAACUUAAAAGUAGGCUCAGAAGUGUAAUGCUGAUCGCCAGUAAUAUUCAAUGCAGGAUCUCUUGUAGAGUAGGGAGGCACAACUCAUGGAUUAACAUCAAAAGUAGGAGCUUCAGGUGGGGGUGGUUCCGCAAAAGCAUAAAUAACAGGUGGAACCGCGUAUGUGGUAGUCUUGAAUUGGGGAGUGAGGAAAUGAACAUUGGAAGUGGUUGGAUAUUGUUGCCCUGUAGUCGAUCCUGAUGCAUGUUGUGGCAUAUCAACAAAAAUGGGAAAUUGUGCAUGUGACACAAAAGUCAAGCCAGAAAGAUAUUCCAAAUUAUCAGUGGGAACUGGGUGAGGCGGCAACCCAUUAGCCAAGCUCGAUGCAUUUCUAUCAUUUGCUGCCUUAAUUUUCGAAUCUCUUCAUUAGAUCCUAAAUUCUCAUUUCCCAAACUCCCUAUCUGAUUAGUGACACAAACUCGGUAUCCUUGUUGGCCAUAACGUUCUUUGUGACUUGGUGCAAUAUGGAGGACCAGCCAAAAUGCCACAAACCAACCACCUUAAAUUAAUUGAACAAGAGAUAACAAAUGUGUUAGAGUUCAACACUUUCUCAAAAUCUCAUUUUUUAUUCUUUUUGAAAAGGUCACCGGACCCAAGAAGGGCGCCUACGUAUCUCACAUCCUGAAAGAGGAGAAUCAGGUGUGCGUAGUUCGUGAAGUUUGGCCACAAAAUGACCGAUCAACUCUUUUUCUUUUCUUUUUGAAACUUUGAGAAGAAAAGAA